rnacentral:tRNA from 1 species
GGGCAGAUGUAGCCAAGUGGAUCAAGGCAGUGGAUUGUGAAUCCACCAUGCGCGGGUUCAAUUCCCAUUGUUCGCCCA